GAUGAACGCUGACAGAAUGCUUAACACAUGCAAGUCAACUUGUGGCGGUCGGGUGAGUAACGCGUAAAGAACUUGCCUCACGGAUAGGGACAACAUUUGGAAACGAAUGCUAAUCCCUGAUACUGUGAGAGAGCUUUGCGUCCCAUUAGCUAGUUGGAGAGGUAACGGCUCACCAAGGCGAUGAUGGGUAGCCGGCCUGUGAGGGUGAUCGGCCACAGGGGGACGUAGACACGGCCAUUACUCCUACGGGAGGCAGGAGGGGGGAAUAUUGGACAAUGUACCAAAGUCUGAUCAAGCAAUUCUGUGUGCACGAUGAAGUUUUCGGAAAGUAAAGUGCUUUCAGUUGGGAAGCGGUACCAACAGAAGAAGUGACGGCUAAAUACGUGCCAGCAGCCGCGGUAAUAC
rnacentral:rRNA from 1 species